GUUUUCAUAAUUUUCUGACACUGUGCAUUUUCUGCUAAAAUAUCAGUCCCGUUUCGCACAAAAAAUUCUAAAUUUUUUGUUUUCGUUCCGAUUUUAGCACAAAUUAUUUCUAACUUAUAUUUUACUUUUCUAAAUCCAAUAAAAAUAGUAUCUCACACUAUUUUUAUUUAUUUUUUACUUUUAUAUCAAAAUCUGAUAUGUUACAGCCAGACUGCAAUCUGCACUGCGUACCGGUACCAUCGGGCAAAAGUACCGGUACCAAGUCAGCU
rnacentral:lncRNA from 1 species